AAGGUUUGUUUUGCCUUGUUUGC
rnacentral:siRNA from 1 species